AACAUGGUGGCUCAGUUGGUAGAGCGACCGCCGGGAAAGCGGGAUAUCGCCGGUUCAGUUCUGGCUCGUGGUG
rnacentral:tRNA from 1 species